GUGCUCGCUUCGGCAGCACAUACACUAAGAUUCGAAUGAUACAGAGAAGAUUAGCAUGGCCCCUGCACAAGGAUGAUGUGCAAAUUCAUGAAACGUUCCAUAUUUUU
rnacentral:snRNA from 1 species